rfam:Hyphomonas johnsonii MHS-2 contig6, whole genome shotgun sequence.
CCAGACGGCCGGGCAAUCGCGGGUGGUGGGGUAACCUGCCAUCGGAGGAAAGUCCGGGCUCCAGGGAGACAAGGCGGCGGAUAACUUCCGCCCGGCGCGAGCCGAGGGAAAGUGCCACAGAGAGCAGACCGCCUGCCGCUUCGGUGGCAGGUAAGGGUGAAAGGGUGGGGUAAGAGCCCACCGCGGGCCUGGUAACAGGCCUGGCAAGGUAAACCCCGCCUGGAGCAAGACCAAGUAGGGGGCGCAUAUGGGAUGUCUUCAGCCCGCGCCCCGGGUGUGUCGCGAGAGGCAGGCUGCGAGGCCUGUCGCAGAGGAAUGGUUGCCGAACCGAUGUCCCGAGAGGGCGCGGGGAACAGAACCCGGCUUACAGGCCGUCUGGUCAU